UACGUAGGGGGCAAGCGUUGUCCGGAAUCAUUGGGCGUAAAGCGCGUGUAGGCGGCUUCGUAAGUCCGUUGUGAAAGUCCAGGGCUCAACCCUGGAAUGCCGAUGGAUACUGCGGAGCUAGAGUCCGGAAGAGGCGAGUGGAAUUCCUGGUGUAGCGGUGAAAUGCGCAGAUAUCAGGAGGAACACCAAUGGCGAAGGCAGCUCGCUGGGACGGUACUGACGCUAAGACGCGAAAGCGUGGGGAGCAAACAGG
rnacentral:rRNA from 1 species